rnacentral:rRNA from 1 species
UACGAAGGGGGCUAGCGUUGCUCGGAAUUACUGGGCGUAAAGGGCGCGUAGGCGGCACUGUUAGUCAGGCGUGAAAGUCCUGGGCUCAACCUGGGAACUGCGCUUGAUACGGCAGAGCUAGAGGAUGGAAGAGGGUCGCGGAAUUCCCAGUGUAGAGGUGAAAUUCGUAGAUAUUGGGAAGAACACCGGUGGCGAAGGCGGGUCUCUGGGCCGUAACUGACGCUGAGGAGCGAAAGCGUGGGGAGCGAACAGG